AGAAUCCAAGGCCGUCUUAAAACAAAGUGCUCCCUUUCCUUUUUUCUCUAUAUUUACCUCGUAUAACCUCCUGGUGCAAACACUGAUCUCUUCGGAUAAGCCAUGAACUCCAGUCAGAGAACAACUAAAUCUCCAUCUAUCUGUACAACAUAAUUUACUGUGACCUGCAAAAUGCCAGAUUCGCGGAUCAACACGCCAACGUCUUCGCCAAAUAUCGAGAAUUUGUCCCAAAAUUCGGUAUCAUCCGACUCUCUUGCGUGUCCAUCGCCAGUGAUCGAAGUGAUCAAAGACGGCGGUUUGUCUACUGGUGCCCGGAUUCCACUGGCCUGGAGUCAGCGAGAGGCAUAUGCACAGGAAGUUUCUUUGGCAAAGCCUGAUAACACUCCAAUUAAAGAAUACCGAUAUCUUGGAUCCAAAACCUUGCUGCCAUCGAGACGACAUCCUUUUGGAUUCGCAACAGGCUCCUUUCACAAUCCAUUAAGCAGACACUCAGAGAUCAAAACAAUUUUUCCGAAGAAGUAUUCAGGAUUUCACACGCUUCCAUCUGGAUUUAUCCGUCGUAGAUCACCAUCAUUGCCGCCAGGAAACUCAAAUGCGGGACUGGGAGUGACCGAUCCCAGUUUUAAUCAGACCCUCAAAACUUUGCUACCGAUGCCGCACGCGUUAUUAUGUGACCCGAACAUUUCGGAUAUUACCAGCGAAUCCUCUGGAAUCGGCUCGCAGUUUUCUGCAAGAGCCUUAACUGCCGUGAAUAAUCGUCAAAACGCUACGCAUAUAAUACCAAUUAUAUCGGAUUUAUAUACUAGGACGUUGCCACCUAAAGUGGCCAAUGUUAAAUGCACGCACAAUUCUGUUAGUUAUCCGUGUACUAACUGGCAUCCUUGUGAGACGCCGGUUAUGGUGCCGAGCUGCAUAACAGGACCCCGCUCACUGGACUUGGACCAAAGAAAUCCAUUCAGCCACUCUAACUGUUGUAAGGGAGGAUUUCUCAUGCUGUGGAUUAUACUUUCUGUUAUUAUGGUAGGAAUUAUCGUUGGAUUAAUUGUUAUUUUUGUCAGACGGAAUGUAUGAUUACAUAUAUUUGAAAUCUGCUGUUCAACUUCGCAAUCCGUUAUUACCGCGCGCAAUGUUCACAAGUCGUCUGAAAGCCGCUAAAUAAAAUAGAGCGAGAAUUUUUCGAUAGCACUUCUAGCCCUUAUCAUUACUUCUACUUUCAUUUUUAUGCUCAUCGGCUCAUGUGAUUCUUUUGU